AGCCUUACGUGACCAUGACAUAUAUUCUAACCUCAAUAUUCGUCAACUUUAAUGCUUAAUAUCUCGGUUCGUGGAGCAGAGCGGCGUUUAUUUCUGCCAGAUUCUUUCGUUUUAUGGAAAAACGCGUCGAAUGAGUAUAAUUUAAUCGAUUUUUGAGACGGUUAUCUUUCAUUGCACCUUUACCACCAGACGAACCGAGAAUCCAGAAAUAAAUUCAGUGUCCAAGUAUCACAAGGAGUGACAGGAUACAAGACGAAACAAAAAAUCGAUUAAAGCGAACCCUCAUACAAUGGAUAGCACAAUCUCAUCAUCUAUGCAAUCUUCUAUUGGGCCAUUCACACAGGAACGAGAACUGAUACUUUACAAAAACAUAAAGAUGCAUCUGCAAGAAAUUGAAAUAGCCACACAGAAUAUUAAUCAGCAAUUCAAAAAUAUUCAUAAAGAAAUGCUUGUCACGACAGCUUUGAUAAAUGCGAUUGAAUCAAAAAGGAUUGAGGAAAUUAAUACGGAUUAAUAUAUUUACAAAGUAUUAGGAAAUACAGCAGUAUAUCU